AUGACAAAUUCUCCGGAAUCUCUGAACAUCUUUUGAUGAUCCUCCUUGAACCCUUUUUGCUGAUGACUCUUGUGUGCAGUUCAUGUUA